AGAGACAGCAGCCGCCGCGGGAAUACAGAGGGUGCGAGCGUUAAUCGGAUUUACUAGGCGUAAAGCGUGCGUAGGCGGCUUCUUAAGUCGGAUGUGAAAUCCCUGAGCUUAACUUAGGAAUUGCAUUCGAUACUGGGAAGCUAAAGUAUGGGAGAGGAUGGUAGAAUUCCAGGUGUAGCGGUGAAAUGCGUAGAGAUCUGGAGGAAUACCGAUGGCGAAGGCAGCCAUCUGGCCUAACACUGACGCUGAGGUACGAAAGCAUGGGGAGCAAACAGGAUUAGAUACCCGUGUAGUCCCUGUCUCUUAUAC
rnacentral:rRNA from 1 species